rnacentral:rRNA from 1 species
GUGCCUACGGGUGGCAGCAGUAGGGAAUAUUGGGCAAUGGGCGAAAGCCUGACCCAGCCAUGCCGCGUGAGCGAUGACGGUCCUCGAGAUUGUAAAGCUCUUUUCUGAAGGAAGAAUAUCCGGGGUAGGAAAUGCCCCCGGCUUGACGGUACUUCAGGAAUAAGGAACGGCUAACUCCGUGCCAGCAGCCGCGGUAAUACGGAGGUUCCAAGCGUUGUUCGGAAUUACUGGGCGUAAAGGGAGCGCAGGCGGACAAGUCAGUCUAAAGUGAAAUCCCGGGGCUCAACCUCGGACUUGCUUCGGAUACUGCUUGUCUUGAGUUCGUGAUAGGAAGAUGGAAUUCAGGGUGUAGCGGUGAAAUGCACAGAUAUCCUGAGGAACACCGGUGGCGAAAGCGGUCUUCUGGCGCGAAACUGACGCUGAGGCUCGAAAGCGUGGGUAGCAAACGUGAUUAGAUACCCCGGUAGUCGCU